CGGACGAACGCUGGCGGCGUGCUUAAUACAUGCAAGUCGAGCGAGGUUACUGUUUUGGAUCCCUUCGUGGUGAAGAAGCUUUAACCUAGCGGCGGACGGGUGAGUAACGCGUGGGUAACCUACCCCAAAGUCCGGGAUAACAGCGGGAAACCGCUGCUAAUACCGGAUGCCUUUACCUUGGGGCAUCUUGAGGUAAAGAAAGGUAACGCUUUGGGAUGGGCCCGCGUCCCAUUAGCUAGUUGGUGAGGUAACGGCUCACCAAGGCGACGAUGGGUAGCCGGCCUGAGAGGGUGGACGGCCACACUGGGACUGAGACACGGCCCAGACUCCUACGGGAGGCAGCAGUAGGGAAUAUUGCGCAAUGGACGGAAGUCUGACGCAGCGACGCCGCGUGAGCGAUGAAGGUCUUCGGAUCGUAAAGCUCUGUCCUUGGGGAAGAAGGUCUUCGGACUUGACGGUACCCAAGAAGAAAGCCCCGGCUAACUACGUG
rnacentral:rRNA from 1 species